UACGUAGGGUGCGAGCGUUGUCCGGAAUUAUUGGGCGUAAAGAGCUCGUAGGCGGCUUGUCGCGUCGAAUGUGAAAUCCUGCGGCUCAACUGCAGGCUUGCAUUCGAUACGGGCAGGCUCGAGUUCGGUAGGGGAGACUGGAAUUCCUGGUGUAGCGGUGAAAUGCGCAGAUAUCAGGAGGAACACCGGUGGCGAAGGCGGGUCUCUGGGCCGAUACUGACGCUGAGGAGCGAAAGCGUGGGGAGCGAACAGG
rnacentral:rRNA from 1 species